rnacentral:rRNA from 1 species
AUUGAGCGCUGGCGGCAGGCCUAACACAUGCAAGUCGAGCGGAUGAAGGGAGCUUGCUCCUGGAUUCAGCGGCGGACGGGUGAGUAAUGCCUAGGAAUCUGCCUGGUAGUGGGGGAUAACGUCCGGAAACGGGCGCUAAUACCGCAUACGUCCUGAGGGAGAAAGUGGGGGAUCUUCGGACCUCACGCUAUCAGAUGAGCCUAGGUCGGAUUAGCUAGUUGGUGGGGUAAAGGCCUACCAAGGCGACGAUCCGUAACUGGUCUGAGAGGAUGAUCAGUCACACUAGAACUGAGACACGGUCCAGACUCCUACGGGAGGCAGCAGUGGGGAAUAUUGGACAAUGGGCGAAAGCCUGAUCCAGCCAUGCCGCGUGUGUGAAGAAGGUCUUCGGAUUGUAAAGCACUUUAAGUUGGGAGGAAGGGCAGUAAGUUAAUACCUUGCUGUUUUGACGUUACCAACAGAAUAAGCACCGGCUAACUUCGUG